UGGAAACUAGAAAAGACUUUAGACAAGU
rnacentral:piRNA from 1 species